GACGAGCUCCCCGAACGUUCUUCGGUAUUACUGGGCUUAAAGAGUUCGUAGGCGGCCUGACAGGUCAGGUGUGAAAUCCCCCGGCUCAACCGGGGAACUGCGCUUGAAACCGUUAGGCUGGAGGGAGAUAGAGGUGAGCGGAACAGAUGGUGGAGCGGUGAAAUGCGUUGAUAUCAUCUGGAACACCGGUGGCGAAAGCGGCUCACUGGAUCUUUUCUGACGCUGAGGAACGAAAGCUAGGGUAGCGAACGGG
rnacentral:rRNA from 1 species